GAUGAACGCUGGCGGCGUGCCUAAUACAUGCAAGUCGAGCGAACAGACGAGGAGCUUGCUCCUUUGACGUUAGCGGCGGACGGGUGAGUAACACGUAGGUAACCUACCUAUAAGACUGGGAUAACUUCGGGAAACCGGAGCUAAUACCGGAUAAUAUUUCGAACCGCAUGGUUCGAUAGUGAAAGAUGGCUUUGCUAUCACUUAUAGAUGGACCUGCGCCGUAUUAGCUAGUUGGUAAGGUAACGGCUUACCAAGGCAACGAUACGUAGCCGACCUGAGAGGGUGAUCGGCCACACUGGAACUGAGACACGGUCCAGACUCCUAAGGGAGGCAGCAGUAGGGAAUCUUCCGCAAUGGGCGAAAGCCUGACGGAGCAACGCCGCGUGAGUGAUGAAGGUCUUCGGAUCGUAAAACUCUGUUAUUAGGGAAGAACAAACGUGUAAGUAACUGUGCACGUCUUGACGGUACCUAAUCAGAAAGCCACGGCUAACUACGUG
rnacentral:rRNA from 1 species